AAAACUGGGGUUAAUUCCCGAUGGGUGAGGAGGCCUGGAAUGGUUCUUCACUGAAAGGGCGCUAGAGGCAUGCUCUCUAACGUUGCCCAAGGAUGGGGCCGCGGCCGAUCAGGUUGUUGGUGAGGUAACGGCUUACCAAGCCUAUAACCGGUACGGGCCGUGAGAGCGGAAGCCCGGAGAUGGGCACUGAGAUAAGGGCCCAGGCCCUACGGGGCGCAGCAGUUGCGAAAACUCCGCAAUGCACGAAAGUGUGACGGGGCUACCCCGAGUGCCGUCCGCUGAGGAUGGCUUUUCUCCGCUGUAAGGAGGCGGAGGAAUAAGGAGAGGGCAAGACUGGUGUCAGCCGCCGCGGUAAUACCAGCUCUCCGAGUGGUAGGGGUGAUUAUUGGGCUUAAAGCGUCCGUAGCCGGCCUGGCAAGUCUUCCGUUAAAUCCAGCAACCUAAUUGUUGGGCUGCGGGGGAUACUGUUAGGCUUGGGGGCGGGAGAGGCCGACGGUAUUCUCGGGGUAGGGGUGAAAUCUUAUAAUCCCGAGAGGACCACCAGUGGCGAAGGCUGUCGGCUAGCACGCGCCUGACGGUGAGGGACGAAAGCUGGGGGAGCGAACCGGAUUAGAUACCCGGGUAGUCCCUGCUGUAAACGAUGCGAGCUAGGUGUUGGGGCGGCUACGAGCCGCUUCAGUGCCGCAGCGAAGGCGUUAAGCUCGCCGCCUGGGGAGUACGGCCGCAAGGCUGAAACUUAA
rnacentral:rRNA from 1 species